CUUUACUGCAGCCUGGAAUUGUGUUCGGGCUUCGCUUGCGCAGGAUAGGUGGGAGGCAUUGAAGUCAUCCUUGUGGGGAUGAUGGAGCCAUCGGUGAGAUACCACUCUAGAGAGGCUAGAAUUCUAACUGGUUCCCGUGAAUCCGGGAACAAGACAGUUUCAGGGGGGCAGUUUGACUGGGGCGGUCGCCUCCUAAAAUGUAACGGAGGCGCGCAAAGGUUCCCUCAGAAUGGUUGGAAAUCAUUCGUAGAGUGUAAAGGCAUAAGGGAGCUUGACUGUGAGACUUACAAAUCCAACAGGGUGGAAACACGGCCUUAGUGAUCCGACGGUACUGGGUGGAAAGGCCGUCGCUCAACGGAUAAAAGUUA
rnacentral:rRNA from 1 species